rnacentral:rRNA from 1 species
AGUGAACGCUGGCGGUAGGCCUAACACAUGCAAGUCGAGCGGCAGCACAGUAAGCGCUUGCUCUUACGGGGGGCGGGUGACGGACGGGUGAGGAAUAGAGCGGCAUCUACUUUUUGGGGGGGGACAACGUGGGGCAACUGACGCUAAUACAUCAAACGACUAACGACUGAAAGCAGGGGUGCAUCGGACAUUUCCCGAACGAAAGAGUCGAUGUCGGAUUAGUUAGUUGGCGGGGUAAAGGCCGACCAAGGCAGCGAUCCGUACCUAGUCUGAGAGGAUGUCCAGCCCAACUGGAACUGAGCCCCGGUCCAGACUCCUCCGGGAGGAAGCAGUGGGGAAUAUUGGACAAUGGGCGCAAGCCUGAUCCAGCCAGACCGCGUGGGUGAAGAAGGCCUUCGGGUUGUAAAGCCCUUUUGUUGGGAAAGAAAAGCAGCAGGUUAAUACCCCGCUGUUCUGACGGUACCCAAAGAAUAAGCACCGGCUAACUUCGUG